CCUACGGGUGGCUGCAGUCGAGGAUCUUCGGCAAUAGGCGCAAGCCUGACCGAGCGACGCCGCGUGCGGGAUGAAGGCCUUCGGGUUGUAAACCGCUGUCAGGGGGGAUGAAAUCAUGGUGGGUACUCCCAUCAUGUUGACAGAGCCCCAGAGGAAGCGCGGGCUAAGUUCGUGCCAGCAGCCGCGGUAAUACGAACUGCGGGAACGUUAUUCGGAAUCGCUGGGGUAACAGGCUGCGAAGGUAGGGUGGGAAAUGCCUUGGCUCAGCCAAGGCACAGCGCUCUAAACUACUUUGCUUGAGUGAGUCAGGGGUGCACGGAACUUCCGGUGGAGCGGUGAAAUGUGUUGAUAUCGGAAGGAACACCGGCGGCGAAAGCGGUGCACUGGGGCUUAACUGACACUGAGGCACGAAAGCCAGGGGAGCGAACGGGAUUAGAUACCCCAGUAGUC
rnacentral:rRNA from 1 species